rnacentral:rRNA from 1 species
GCGAGUGGAUCCCUUCGGGGUGAAGCUCGUGGAACGAGCGGCGGACGGGUGAGUAACACGUGGGCAACCUGCCUGUAAGAUCGGAAUAACCCCGGGAAACCGGGGCUAAUGCCGGGUAAUACUUUCUUUCGCAUGAAGGAAAGUUGAAAGAUGGCUUCUUGCUAUCACUUACAGAUGGGCCCGCGGCGCAUUAGCUAGUUGGUGAGGUAACGGCUCACCAAGGCGACGAUGCGUAGCCGACCUGAGAGGGUGAUCGGCCACACUGGGACUGAGACACGGCCCAGACUCCUACGGGAGGCAGCAGUAGGGAAUCUUCCGCAAUGGACGAAAGUCUGACGGAGCAACGCCGCGUGAACGAUGAAGGUCUUCGGAUCGUAAAGUUCUGUUGUUAGGGAAGAACAAGUACCGUGCGAAUAGAGCGGUACCUUGACGGUACCUAACGAGGAAGCCCCGGCUAACUACGUGCCAGCAGCCGCGGUAAUACGUAGGGGGCAAGCGUUGUCCGGAAUUAUUGGGCGUAAAGCGCGCGCAGGCGGUUCCUUAAGUCUGAUGUGAAAGCCCACGGCUCAACCGUGGAGGGUCAUUGGAAACUGGGGAACUUGAGGACAGAAGAGGAGAGUGGAAUUCCACGUGUAGCGGUGAAAUGCGUAGAUAUGUGGAGGAACACCAGUGGCGAAGGCGACUCUCUGGUCUGUUUCUGACGCUGAGGUGCGAAAGCGUGGGUAGCAAACAGGAUUAGAUACCCUGGUAGUCCACGCCGUAAACGAUGAGUGCUAGGUGUUAGGGGCUUCCACCCCUUAGUGCUGAAGUUAACGCAUUAAGCACUCCGCCUGGGGAGUACGGCCGCAAGGCUGAAACUCAAAGGAAUUGACGGGGGCCCGCACAAGCGGUG